UUUUAUAAUAACUUGCGAUUAGGGUUUGAGUGGCAGAGAUAAGAGGGAAAAAGUCUGAUAUAUUCCAAACAUGCGUAGGCUCCAUUCCGUUCUUCCUCUUCUGCAGACACUCGAAACUCUAGCAAGAUAACGGAGGAAGCACAAAACGGCACCGUAAACUCGGUCCAAACGUCCUCUCCAGUUCCGAGUAAUCCUACCUCGACGCGCUUCCCUCCGCUAACUUGUAGGAUUGGUAUGAGAAAAGUUUUAUGCAUGGUGGCGUGGUUACGCAUGUUGCCGUCUCUUCGGCAGAUUUUUUCAUCACGAGGAGCGCUGAUGGAACCCCGGAGAAUGUGCAAACGGAACAUUUCUUUAAUCCAGUUUAAAUUUCAGACCCGUUCUUUUAUGCCCUGUACCUGCAUUCAAGAUAUUGGAGGAGUUCCAACCAUGAGAAUGGUGUCAAUACUUCAAAAUAAUAAGGCGGGACAAAUAAGACUGUAUACUGUAAAGGGAGUCUCAUCUUCUGUGUUCAGGUUUGAAAUUUGGGUACCAUUUCUGUAAUUUUUCCAUUCUGUCGAAAUCUUUAACUUGCCUUGGCAUACAGAGGUAGGCUUUCGGCUAAACCACUUAUAGUUACUUGUGCUUUGUUUUACUUUGUUGAUGCUCCACUCUAAUCCAUGUUUGGCAAUAAUUCGCAAAAAUGGUCAAACGCCAAUGGACCUUCAGAGAGUUUUGAUGUUAAAGAAGAUAAAGUUUGGUUUACAAGUGUGCCAAAUGAGUGGCAAUCAGUUUGUGGAUAAGAACUGACACUUCCUUUUGCUUCUGCAUCUGAUCACUGUUAUUUGGUUAAUUAUAUAUGUUAAUUGGUAGUUACAUAAGAUGAAUCAUGUGUAUUUUUGCUGUUUUUGUCAAUGGGAAAUGCUGGCCUUUAACACCAAUGGAUCUCUUUCUUUAUUAUCACAGUCACUACUUCUUGGCUGAACAAGAAGCAUACAGUUAAGGGAAUGGAUGUCUUACAGGUAUUGUUAAGUUUGGCUAUUUACCACAUCAUUAUUACUUGACAGACACAAAAUAAACAUUUGACAAGUGAUAUUAAGAUGUGAAAUUUCUGAAUGUGACUGUUCCCAACUCAGCUUCUUCCUCCUAAUGGUUGGACUCUUAAGAAUCAAGAUAUGGUUUGUGGUUCCUUAUUGCUGACCUUUGGGCAUACCUCUGGUAAUUGUUUUAUCUAUCUUCUUUAGGCAGUUACCCUGGAGCAUAUAUGAGGUUUUGUUCUGUGUUUAUUGGGGAACAUCUAUUGGAACAAAGUAGAAAGAAACUUCACUGCUCAUAAGGUCCUUAAAUAUGCUGAUACCAGUGUCCCUGCAUGAAGAUCUAAUUCCAUUAUUUUAGAAGAGUAAUGCUAGAUACAGUCAUGGCUUGUGCAAGUACUGCACACAUCAUUUGAAAAAAAGUGAGGUCCAUCAUUAAAAAAUUAAUUUUUUCAUGUGGGUCCCAUAUUUACUCUUUUUUUCAAAAUGAGUGUGUGGCACUUACGCAACUCAUGGGCCAUGACUGUAAAUAUCAUUUCUGAUUCUAGAAAUAAUUUCACACAUAAAAAUUGGUUCAUACAACCCACAUUUUCUUGGAUUUGGAUUUUUUAGAGAUUUUGUAUGAACUCUAAGGCCUAGAGUGGGAGAGAGAUAGACACAAAAAAGUAGCUCCCACACCAUUUAUUAAGUAUUUAAUGUUGUCCAAGAAAUUCAUUUGGACAGCAAUAAAUGUUAUGAAACUUAUUUUAUGUGUUUAUCUCUCUCCUACUCUAGGCCCUAAAGUCCAAAUAUGAACUCUAGGGAAUCAAAAUCCCAUUUUCUCUAUUGUGUAUGGUGCACUCGAUGACGUGUAAGCAAUCAUCUGCAACCCACAGCGCACUGUAGAUUUACUCCUUUUUUGUCAGGUACGCUUUGCAUAUGAAGGAAUGCAUGGAGAUUGAUUUAUUGAAUUUGUAGUCACAGCUGAAAAUCUUUUGCUCAAUGUAGAUCCUAUGAAUUUGUCUAUGUACGAGUAGUUUCUCUAGCUGGAACAUUCGACCUAAUUCAUUUGUCUGCUGUCAACAUGCAGUUUUAAACUACUUUUACGCCCUUCAAUAACAAAUAACCACACCUAAUGAUUCUACUUUUUUAGAAAAAUCUACACGAGAUCAUCAUUUUUUCUUGAAGUCCUAUAAUAAAUCUCUAAAAUAUAAAGCCUAAGCCCCUAAGAUUCCUAACCCUGAUUACUUCUAAGAUCACCUCAAAUUACAGCUCCUACUGCCUCUUGGGGUGGUAGGAGCAACCUUGAGUAGGAGAUGGCCGUAGACCACCCUGACAGGGUGGAUUUUGGGUGGUUUGCAGCCACCCCAGGCCAGGUGGGUGGCCAGUAACCAUACUUGUCAGGGUGGGCAGAUUAACCCUUGUUGAGGUGGAAAACCACUGGUUUGCCUUUUUUAUAAGUUUUAAUUUUAGUUCUUUUAAUUUUUAGUAUAUUUAAUGAAGUCUGGGCUUUACUUUUUAUCAUUUGGUACAAAGCUGAUGUGUUAGCUUUCUAUUGAAGGGUGAAGUAGUCCUGAUUGCGGAUAAAUCAGUUUAAAUUUUCCUGUAUUCAUUUUGCUUUCCAAUUCUUAUAUGAAAAGAUUGAGGGUGUUCAGAUUCAUUCAUGGAUUUUUGUAGCGUAUCUCAAUGAAGUUUCACUUUUAAGAAUUAGGAGUGUUUGGUUGGUCACUUUUAGAAUCAGUUCGCGUUUACAAUAAGCUCGGGAAGUAUCCCAUUUUAGGGUUUUAAUCUUGAGUUUGAAAUUCUUUGCAAUUAAUUCCUUGGUCCAACUCUCAAUAGAUCCACUUACCAUGGAAGAUGGUUUCUCUUCAAUUCAAGUGAAAUGUUGUACAUGUAAAACAUGGGAUAUUUUGGUCAUUUUACAUGUUAGCCUAAUGUGAAAUGAUUAAAGUAGCUCAUGUUUUAUACUAAAUGAAUAUAAAUGUUUCACUUGAAAUAGGAAGGAUUCUUGUCGAGUCACGAUGUGCUUAUCACUUGGCAUUAAUGUCACGUUAACUAACUAAAAUUCAACUUAUGGCAAAAAGAUAGCUAGCGGCCUUGUUAAAGAGAGGGUUUUAUGUGUUUGGAAUAGUAACAUUCUAACCCUUCAUUUUGAAACUUUAUGUAAUUUAUUCCACCCAUCCAACCAUCACCAAAUUCACUAACUUUGCAGUUACCCUGUAUUAGAAUUUGGCACGGAAAAAUUUUAUUCUCAAGUCGAUGUGUAAAAAUAUAUAUAUAAUAAAAUGUUUACAAGAUAUAAUUUAAUUUAGAAGAAAAAUUUUAAAAUUUAAAUCUUAUAAAUUAAAUUUUAUUAUUUAAAUAAUGUAAAUAAUGUGAUUUACAUUUCGACUUAAGAAUAAAAUGAUUCAUGUUUCUUUUUUAUAUAAAAUACAAUUUAGACCGAUAAAAAAAAAUAGAAUAACUCGUGUUAUAAAUGUAAAAAUUAUGAAUAUUAUUGAAAAAUACGAAACAUGGACUCUCAAAUUAAGCCAAUUAUUGAGUAGCUUGAGCUAAUCAGACUAAACUCCAGGGUUGCACCAGAGCGCCAUCCCAAGGGGGUGCCGAGGAGGGUGGGGCUGGUGGUUACACCCCUUUCGUUAAUAAAUAUUUGGAUUUUAAUUGGUUUAUGUAAACGUGUUUAUAGUUUUUCUUUCCUUUUUCAAAGAAAAGAAUACGAGAGUUUUAAAAUCAUUUAUGGAUUUUUAAAAUACUUUUUAAUUUUUUACAACUUUUUCUAAUGAGGUGGUUGGUGUGCCAUUUUGUGCCGUGCCUGAUAUUGGUUAAUGUGAUAAUUAUGCCUUUGUGGUUCUAACUGGAGUUGGACGGAUGGUCCGAUGGAGUUAAUUGUAAAAAGUUUUUUAAAAUCAAGAAUUAAUAUGCUAAAAUCGAAAAUUCUGAGAGCUUUUUACAAAACAUGUAAAAAAAGGGAGCUGAUUUUACCUUUUAACCCAAUUAGGGGUGUAAAAAGAAUUAGAAAUUCAGUUGAACUUACGGGUUCGGCUUAGUACUGGUUUUCAUAUUUUAAAUUGAACCGGAAUUAUAUAUAUUUAAUUUUUUUAUAUUAUAUUAUAUUCUAAAUUGUUAAUUAAUAUAACAUGAAGUUUUAAUCUUAUUAUUUAUUUCUAUUAAUCUUAUAACAUAAGAAAUUUUUAAUCUAAAAUGUAAACAUUAAUAUUAAGUUAUUAAUAUAAACUUAUUUUCGAGGAGAACAAGUAUUAGAAGAAUCAGCUCUCAAGUCUUAUCUUAUGUAGUGGACGCAUGUAAACGAUAAACCAAAAAUCAAAAGUUAAAAGUUCCUGUUUCAGUAAUGAAUCAAUAUGUAUUAGUUUUUAAAUUUUUAAAAUUGGUGUAUAUCGGUUUGGUUUUGAAAUUUAUCCAAAACCGAAUCAAACAGUAUCGAUUACACCCCUAAACCCAAUAAUAUACCUGUUUGGAUGGUAAGAGUUGAAUUGAGAUGAGUUGAAUUUUUAAUGAAUAGUAGUGAGUUGGGAUGGUAUAAUGAGUUUUGUGUGGCCCAUCGAAGAUGAGUUUAGAUUUUUUGAAUGUUAAGGUUGCGUUUGGAUGUUGAGUUGAAAUGAGUUCUUUAUUAAUAGGAGUGAGUUGAGUAGAUAGAGUGAGUUAUGUGGAGCCCAUCUAAAAUGAAUUUAAAUAUAUUUGGAUGUUAAAAUGAGUUUAGGUAUUAUUUAUGAAAAUUUGAAAAAGGUUGUGGGUCCCACAUAUAAAGAUGUGUUAAGUUGAAAAAGAUUGUGGGUCCCACGUAUAAGGAGGUUUUGAGUUGAGAUGAGUUUAGUAAUUUGAGAGUUAGAUGUUUGGCUACUAGACUCAGCUUAAAAUUAGAUUGUACUGAGUUGAUCUCAGUUGAGUCUUGUAGCCAAAAGGAGCUUUAAAUGAGUUUAGAUAUAUUUAUGACAAGUUGAAAAAGAUUGUGGGUCCCGCAUGUAAAGAUGUGUUAGUUGAAAAAAGUUGUAGGUCUUGCGUAUAAAGAGGUGUUGAGUUAAUAAAUGUUGUGGAUCUCAUGCGUAAAGAGGUUUUGAAUUGAGAUAAGUUUAGUAAUUUGAAAGUUAGGUGUUUGGCUACUAAACUAAGAAUAAAAAUAUACUAUACUGAGUUGAUCUCAGUUGAAUCUUGUAACCAGACGGAGUUUAAAAGAGCUGUGGGUCCCGCGUGUAAAGAGAUAUUGAGUUGAAAAAAGUUAUGGGUAUCAUGUGUAAAGAAGUUUUGAGUUGAGAUAAG